GUCUUCUGUGAAAGGACGCCGUUACACUAGAUGACCUCUGAGUUCUUCCUAGUGCUUAUGGCCUAUCACCUCUGGAUCCUUUGCCCAAGGCUAAACAUCCCUAGUUCCAUCAAUGGGGUCCUUUCCUGAAUGCUCUCCAUUUCCUCAAUGUCCUUCCUAAGAUGUGGCACCUAGAACUGAGCAGACUGGGCAGAGGGGAAGUUGUUUCUCUUCUUGACCCCCACUCCCACCCGAACUUUAACCUCCUCCCUACAUACCCCAGGCAUCUCCUCCAGACGUGGUCUGCUCAGGCCACAGCACCACAGCGUGAUCAUCUCUCUCAAUCUAGAAGUCAUGCCUCUCAGAGUGGCUUAAGACUUGAUUCAUUUUCUGGGCUCCAUUUGACAGGAUUGACUCAUGCUGACUGUGAAGUCUACUCAAACCCUUAGGGUGCUUAGAUAUCAAUGCUUUUUUUUUUUCUAUAUCAGUAUAUUCCUCAGUUAUCCACAGACUGGUAUUUAAGGAAAGGUCUUAUAGGAAAGAAUAAAUCGGUGCAAAAUGUAUAACUGGAGUGGGAGGACAAAAGCACAGAAGGGUCCCCAGUAAAUCAAUAGGACACAACACAUGUACACAGCUCCUCACACCCCAGAAGUUUUUCAGAUGAGAAAACAUUUAUUUGGUAUGACUACCUUCUUUAUUGAUUUAUUCGUUCAGCUUGUCCAUUAUUAAAAAAACAACAACAACAACAAAACGAAACAAAACAAACCCCCCUAAGAGAAAGAUGCCUGAGCACAGUGUGAGUCAAGGCAUUGGGGGAAGGCACUUUGGGAAAAACACCAAGGGUAUAUAGGCAGAGGUGGGCUCGGGGCCCACUUUGGCACCAAACGAGCCAUGGGCUACAUUACAUGGCUGUGGGUGGUGUGGGUCAGGGAGGGAGGAUGUCCGAGCCAGAGGAUAACUAAGUCAAGGAUAAGGGGAAAAUUGGAGAUGUGAGCUGGGGAAUGCUGGAGGAGGGACCAGAGAUAUCUGAGAUGGAGAGGACACACCCUCAGGCAUGUUUAUUCCUUCUUCUCUUGGUCCUGAACUUCCGCCUAAGCUCUGAUGACUCCCCAGACCCAUGGGUGGGGUAUUCCUGAAGAUUUCCAUCUCUUCCCUCAGAGUCCAGAAAGGGGAUGUCCAAGUCAGGGGCAUUCUGGAGUCAGAAAUGUUUCCUGUCACACCUCAGCUCUGAUGGCUGGUUCCCAAUAUUCUCUAACUGGUCCCAGGUGCUACUCAGGAGACUAGGAAAUAGAAGCCCUGUUGGGAAUUUUUGCUCAGGGCAAGAGCAAGAGUGGCCUCACGGGGGAGCCUCUAGGCAGAGGAAUAGUAGGACAUGCACACGUGCGCGCGCGCACACACACACACACACACACACACACACACACACACACACACACACACACUUUCUCUCUCUCUCUCUCUCUCUCUCUCUCUCUCUCUCUGUCUGUCUGUCUCUCUCUCUCUCUUUCUCUAUCAGGAGUUGAACCUGGUAUUGGCACAUAUAAAUAUAAAUUAAACUGACAGGCUUACCCAAAAAAAAUG